GAUAAACGCUAGCGGCAGGCUUAACACGUGCAAGUCGAGGGGCAGUAUAGAUUGUAGCAGUACAAUUGGUGGCGACCGGCGCACGGGUGCGUAACGCGUAUGCAACCUACCCGUCACAGGGGGAUAAUCCGGAGAAAUCUGGUCUAAUACCCCAUAACAUAUGGAUCGGCAUCGGUUCAUGUUGAAAGUUUCGGAGGUUACGGAUGGGCAUGCGUAGCAUUAGCUUGUUGGUGAGGUAACGGCUCACCAAGACGACGAUGCUUAGGGGGACUGAGAGGUUUUCCCCCCACACUGGUACUGAGACACGGACCAGACUCCUACGGGAGGCAGCAGUGAGGAAUAUUGGUCAAUGGGCGCAAGCCUGAACCAGCCAUGCCGCGUGCAGGAUGACGGCUCUAUGAGUUGUAAACUGCUUUUGUACGAGGGUAAAGUGGGUUACGUGUAACCUUUUGAAAGUAUCGUACGAAUAAGGAUCGGCUAACUCCGUGCCAGCAGCCGCGGUAA
rnacentral:rRNA from 1 species